rnacentral:ncRNA from 1 species
CUUUUAACGGUGGAUCUCUAGGCUCGCGUAUCGAUGAAGAACGUAGCAAAGUGCGAUAAGUAGUGCGAAUUGCGAAAUUCAGUGAAUCAUCGAAUCUUUGAACGCAGAUUGCGCUGUCAGGAUUUCUUGGCAGCAUGUCUGUCUGAGUGUCGUUUUCAAACAACAUCAUAUUUGAUUUUGAUCGAUCAGAUAUGGCUACUGAGGUUACUCAAUCGUUUAUUCGACUGCGUACCUUGAAAUAGAGUAUUUCCAAUUCGACUUGAUUUGUGAUUGGUAUAGAUCAGGCCAUGCCGAGUUUCUACUCGUAUCGUCUGUCUAUAGUUGAGAGCAAAUUAGUAUGAAUGUAGAGGAAAUGAUGGUAGUUUAUUGAAAUUAGUCAAUUUUAGACCUCAGAUCAGGCAAGACUACCCGCUGAACUUAAGCAUAUCAAUAAGCGGAGGAAAAGAAACUAACAAGGAUUCCCUUAGUAACGGCGAGCGAAGUGGGAAUAGCUCAAGCUUAAAAUCUCCGAAGCUUGCUUCGGCGAAUUGUAGUCUGUGGAAGUGUUAUCUGGCAGUAUGUUUUGGGUCUAAGUUGCCUGGAACGGCACGUCAUAGAGGGUGAUAACCCCGUCUUUGACUUACAACAGCUGUCAAUGAGGCGCUUUCCGAGAGUCGGGCUGUUUGAGAGUGCAGCCUAAAUUGGGUGGUAGACUCCAUCUAAAGCUAAAUAUAGACGCGAGACCGAUAGCGAACAAGUACCGUGAGGGAAAGAUGAAAAGAACUUUGAAAAGAGAGUUAAAUAGUACGUGAAACCGUUAAAAG